rnacentral:rRNA from 1 species
UACGAAGGGGGCGAGCGUUGUUCGGAUUUACUGGGCGUAAAGGGCGCGUAGGCGCUUGUCAGUCAGGCGUGAAAGCCCCGGGCUCAACCUGGGAACGGCGCUUGGGACGGCGAGGCUGGAGUUCGGGAGAGGAGAGUGGAAUUCCCAGUGUAGAGGUGAAAUUCGUAGAUAUUGGGAAGAACACCGGUGGCGAAGGCGGCUCACUGGACCGGUACUGACGCUGAGGCGCGAAAGCGUGGGGAGCAAACGGG